rnacentral:rRNA from 1 species
CAGUAGCCGCGGUAAUACGUAGGGCGCGAGCGUUAAUCGGAAUUACUGGGCGUAAAGCGUGCGCAGGCGGUUGUGUAAGACAGGUGUGAAAUCCCCGGGCUUAACCUGGGAACUGCGCUUGUGACUGCACAGCUAGAGUAUGGCAGAGGGGGGUGGAAUUCCACGUGUAGCAGUGAAAUGCGUAGAGAUGUGGAGGAACACCGAUGGCGAAGGCAGCCCCCUGGGCCAAUACUGACGCUCAUGCACGAAAGCGUGGGGAGCAAACAGGAUUAGAUACCCCGGUAGUCCCUGUCUCUUAUAC